CCUUUUUUCAAAACACAAAAUGUGCUCGCGGUCGUGCUCGUCCAGUUAAAUUUACGCAUUUUCGCCGGUUUUUCGACAGUACAAUUCGUAAAAGUGCUCCCAAAAUGUAUCGAAUGCUUAGCCUAAGAAGCCUUUCUAGAAAUAAGAACAAACUGCUGGCCAACAAGACCAGCGUGGUGCGACUUAAUCCGGAACUGAUCUGCUUCCAGAAUUUUUCUCAUUUAUGUAACCAGCAACUGGGAGGAUUGGCAACCGAGGAAAUUGCACUCCUCAGAAACGAUGUUUCUUCAAUAAAGUAUGACAUUAUCAAACGUGUUCACUCAACAACUCCAACGCCUGAAAUGCUGGAACUUUCAAGCAAGAAAAAA